CUUCUGCGGCGCGCACACGUGAUGAGGAGACGCGCGGCUGCUGCGGAUGACGUCAUACGCAUCUCUGUGCGUUACGUCCUCUCCGCACUGAGCGAGUUCCUAUUUAAACCCCUGCACACGAGACCCGAUCGCUGCAGUCUCUCGGGAGACUCGUGGAGGAGAUUUGCCAUCGCAUUCAUCGAACCAGGUAUGCCCUUCCCCACUACUCCCUGCUUUUAUCUCUAUUCCGUUCCCUGUAACUAAUAGGUUACAUGUGGUUCUUUUUUCCUUGUUAUACCAGGCUUAUCAUUGCCUUAAUUACUGGCUAUCAGCCGGCACCCAGCUCUGGUUACUCACUUCUGCUACCAGGAAGUGCAGCAUUUAUUGAGGACUGUUGAGAGAUAGUGGUCACCCUCUCCCCCUUUUUCUUUCUCCUCAAGCUCUGCCCUCCUUCACUGAAGACUGUUACUUUCUAUUUUACUUGGGCCGUUCCCCUAUACCCCUUACAACGUCCAGCAGCCCGGACACAGUCUAUUUUGUGUUUUUCAUUUUUGCCAGAAAAUUUAUGUAUCGAUCCCCCUACCAAUCAAUACUAUCUUUAAAACUACACUGCUGACUCCGUGAGGAAGCGCUGUUAAAGCGCGAAACCGGUCGAGUCCACCAACGCAGCAAGCCAAACCACCGCAGACAUAUCUUUGCCUGCAUUUCCACAACGCGACAGGACUACUAAUCACAUUUAUGCACUUUAUUCCAAAUCUCUUUGGAAGUGUUUUAACUUCAUUGUUGAUACAUUGUUAUACUUUAUGUACAUAUUCCUGUCAGUGUUUAUGGAUAGGCUUGCCUAGUUAGCCUUUUAGAUAGUUUUUUUGUGCUGGAAACGGCAAUACUUUUUCUUCUUUAUUUUGUUCUACUUACUACGAUAUUUUAUAUCUAAAUAAACAAAUCUAUUUUUUAGAGAAAAUCUUUUCUUGCGUACAUAUAUUCUGACCAACCAAAUCGUGCCUAAAAAGUCCAAAAACUAGCCCUUAGUUCUCCUCUUUAUCAUUUAUACCAGGACGUGGCACCCUCUUUUUACCUUAUAAUAUCCACAUGCACACUACAUGUGAGGAUAUUGUCAUCUCUUCUUUUUCAAAUAAUUAUUUGGGUGGUAGCACCCGGGCAAAACUUCAGCCCACCUCUCUUGUACUAAGGGGGCUGUUAGUGUUUGUAUCCUUUUCGAAUAUUUAAUCUUUUUUAUUUAUAUUGUUGUUUUCCUUGUAUUUUCUCUAAAUCCUA